rnacentral:rRNA from 1 species
GACGAACGCUGGCGGUGUGCUUAACACAUGCAAGUCGAACGGUAAGGCCCUUUCGGGGGUACACGAGUGGCGAACGGGUGAGUAACACGUGAGUAACCUGCCCUCAUCUCUGGGAUAACAGUCGGAAACGGUUGCUAAUACUGGAUAUGAGCUUGCAAGGCAUCUUGUGGGUUGGAAAGAUUUUUUUUGGUUGGGGAUGGACUCGCGGCCUAUCAGCUUGUUGGUGAGGUAGUGGCUCACCAAGGCUUCGACGGGUAGCCGGCCUGAGAGGGCGACCGGCCACAUUGGGACUGAGAUACGGCCCAAACUCCUACGGGAGGCAGCAGUGAGGAAUAUUGCACAAUGGACGGAAGUCUGAUGCAGCAACGCCGCGUGCGGGAUGACGGCCUUCGGGUUGUAAACCGCUUUCAAUUGUGACGAAGCUUUUUUGUGACGGUAGCAGUAGAAGAAGCACCGGCUAACUACGUG